UUGUUGGGUAGGGGAGCGUUCUGUAAGCCUGUGAAGGUGGCCUGUGAGGGUUGCUGGAGGUAUCAGAAGUGCGAAUGCUGACAUAAGUAACGAUAAAGCGGGUGAAAAGCCCGCUCGCCGGAAGACCAAGGGUUCCUGUCCAACGUUAAUCGGGGCAGGGUGAGUCGACCCCUAAGGCGAGGCCGAAAGGCGUAGUCGAUGGGAAACGGGUUAAUAUUCCCGUACUUGGUGUUACUGCGAAGGGGGGACGGAGAAGGCUAUGUUGGCCGGGCGACGGUUGUCCCGGUUUAAGCGUGUAGGUGUGUGUUCCAGGUAAAUCCGGUUCACUUUAACACUGAGGCGUGAUGACGAGGCACUACGGUGCUGAAGCAACAAAUGCCCUGCUUCCAGGAAAAGCCUCUAAGCAUCAGGUAACAUCAAAUCGUACCCCAAACCGACACAGGUGGUCAGGUAGAGAAUACCAAGGCGCUUGAGAGAACUCGGGUGAAGGAACUAGGCAAAAUGGUGCCGUAACUUCGGGAGAAGGCACGCUGACACGUAGGUGAAGUGAUUUACUCACGGAGCUGAAGUCAGUCGAAGAUACCAGCUGGCUGCAACUGUUUAUUAAAAACACAGCACUGUGCAAACACGAAAGUGGACGUAUACGGUGUGACGCCUGCCCGGUGCCGGAAGGUUAAUUGAUGGGGUCAGCGCAAGCGAAGCUCCUGAUCGAAGCCCCGGUAAACGGCGGCCGUAACUAUAACGGUCCUAAGGUAGCGAAAUUCCUUGUCGGGUAAGUUCCGACCUGCACGAAUGGCGUAAUGAUGGCCAGGCUGUCUCCACCCGAGACUCAGUGAAAUUGAACUCGCUGUGAAGAUGCAGUGUACCCGCGGCAAGACGGAAAGACCCCGUGAACCUUUACUAUAGCUUGACACUGAACAUUGAGCCUUGAUGUGUAGGAUAGGUGGGAGGCUUUGAAGCGUGGACGCCAGUCUGCGUGGAGCCGACCUUGAAAUACCACCCUUUAAUGUUUGAUGUUCUAACGUGGACCCGUAUCCGGGUUGCGGACAGUGUCUGGUGGGUAGUUUGACUGGGGCGGUCUCCUCCUAAAGAGUAACGGAGGAGCACGAAGGUUGGCUAAUCCUGGUCGGACAUCAGGAGGUUAGUGCAAUGGCAUAAGCCAGCUUGACUGCGAGCGUGACGGCGCGAGCAGGUGCGAAAGCAGGUCAUAGUGAUCCGGUGGUUCUGAAUGGAAGGGCCAUCGCUCAACGGAUAAAAGGUACUCCGGGGAUAACAGGCUGAUACCGCCCAAGAGUUCAUAUCGACGGCGGUGUUUGGCACCUCGAUGUCGGCUCAUCACAUCCUGGGGCUGAAGUAGGUCCCAAGGGUAUGGCUGUUCGCCAUUUAAAGUGGUACGCGAGCUGGGUUUAGAACGUCGUGAGACAGUUCGGUCCCUAUCUGCCGUGGGCGCUGGAGAACUGAGGGGGGCUGCUCCUAGUACGAGAGGACCGGAGUGGACGCAUCACUGGUGUUCGGGUUGUCAUGCCAAUGGCACUGCCCGGUAGCUAAAUGCGGAAGAGAUAAGUGCUGAAAGCAUCUAAGCACGAAACUUGCCCCGAGAUGAGUUCU
rnacentral:rRNA from 1 species